rnacentral:rRNA from 1 species
AUUGAACGCUGGCGGCAGGCUUAACACAUGCAAGUCGAGCGGAGCGAGGGUGCUUGCACCUUAGCUUAGCGGCGGACGGGUGAGUAAUGCUUAGGAAUCUGCCUAUUAGUGGGGGACAACAUUCCGAAAGGAAUGCUAAUACCGCAUACGCCCUACGGGGGAAAGCAGGGGAUCUUCGGACCUUGCGCUAAUAGAUGAGCCUAAGUCGGAUUAGCUAGUUGGUGGGGUAAAGGCCUACCAAGGCGACGAUCUGUAGCGGGUCUGAGAGGAUGAUCCGCCACACUGGGACUGAGACACGGCCCAGACUCCUACGGGAGGCAGCAGUGGGGAAUAUUGGACAAUGGGCGGAAGCCUGAUCCGGCCAUGCCGCGUGUGUGAAGAAGGCCUUUUGGUUGUAAAGCACUUUAAGCGAGGAGGAGGCUCUUAAGGUUAAUACCCUUGAUGAGUGGACGCUACUCGCAGAAUAAGCACCGGCUGACUCUGUGCCAGCCGCCGCGGUAAUAC